AGAAGAUUGGGUCCAAAGGCACCAUCAGCGUUUGGUAGGUGCUUAUCAAAAAGGUUCAACACAUGCUGCACAAGCAGCUGCACGGCAAGGAAAAUAUCAAAAAGGUACGCAGUUAGGUCCCUUGGUUCCAGGAGAACGUGUUCUGAUAAGAACCUUUAGACGGGGUAAUGGGGGUAAAUUAGCUGACCGUUGGGAGUCCAUGCCCCAUUUUGUAGUACAGCAGUUGCCCUCAGGGAUUCCUGUGUAUAGAUUAAGGCCGGAAGGGAAGGAAGGGCCCAUUCGCACUAUUCAUCGGAAUCGUCUGAGGCCAUGCCUCUUUCACCCAAAGCCAACCCCAGCAGCUGAGAUGUACCUGGCACAAACACCCGUUCCUGAUGAGCCGUGGCCCUUUUGGGCCAUUGAACCUGCACAACACUCUGGGGAUCUCGGCGGAGUGCCGCGAGUUGCAGAGGAAAGUUUGGAAGCAGAGGGCCGAGGAACACCGUCUUUGGGGAAAGCGAGAGUGGAGACGUGACGUCUAGUGGGGAUCCCUCGACAAUCAGCUGACUGAAGGCUGACUCAGGACAACGUAAACCAGCCGUGACUACAGUGGAGCCGUAACUGGUGUGGACGUACACCUCCUUUCGCGCAACUGCCAGGGAGGAGAGAAGUGUGGAGCUUUCCUCCCUCAACGAGCUAAGUGGCCCUUCCUUGCCCUGUUAGUUUUAGAUUAAGCAAGACUGUGCUUGAGUGUUCAUGUUCCACGAGUGGUGAGCAGUGUAUAGCGCCGCUAGCGUAGAAAAGCAGUAGCCUGCUAAUGACUGUAUGUAUGUUGGUUGCCUGUGUUAUUGAGCCUCCACAUUCACAGUAGGCCUAUAGGCCAUCUACAAGUGGCUGCCUACCUGACGGUGUGUGUGUGUGCGUGCGUGUGUAUGUGUACUUCCUAGUGAAGCCCAGCUGAGACAGUGAGGGACCGGCACGCCUGCCAGCCAUACGUAGGAGGAGAGUGGACUGCUUAAGACAUGAAUUGGACUCUUUUACUCGUUGCACCUUUUCUACAUAUUUAUUAGCUAUUGUAUAAAAUAAAGAUUAUUGUAUUUUUCUACUUCUGCAUCCGUGUCUGUAUGUUGCGAAAGGGUGCUUCACAGCCAAAGGAUAUUAAUAAGCUAACUGUGAAUAAUACAGUGUACCGGAUAAAGAUAAGUAACACUGAACCUGUGACACU
ensembl:lncRNA